rnacentral:siRNA from 1 species
AGUAGAUAGACGAUGGUCCAAACG